rnacentral:rRNA from 1 species
AUACGGAGGACGCGAGCGUUAUCCGGAUUCAUUGGGUUUAAAGGGUGCGCAGGCGGCCGUGCAAGUCAGCGGUGAAAGCCCGGGGCUCAACCCCGGAAGUGCCGUUGAUACUGCGUGGCCGGAAUGCGGUCGAGGCGGGCGGAACGUGGCGUGUAGCGGUGAAAUGCGUAGAUAUGCCACAGAACGCCGAUAGCGGAGGCAGCGCGCCAGGCCUGCAUUGACGCUCGGGCACGAAAGCGUGGGGAUCGAACAGGAUUAGAUACCCUGGUAGUCCACGCCGUAAACGAUGGGCGCUCGUCGUCGGCAACAGACAGUCGGCGGCCAAGCGAAAGCGAUAAGCGCCCCACCUGGGGAGUACGGUCGCAAGGCUGAAACUCAAAUGAAUUGACGGGG